CGCAGCCGCGGUAAUUCCAGCUCCAAUAGCGUAUAUUAAAGUUGCUGCAGUUAAAAAGCUCGUAGUUGAAUUUCGGGACCAUCAUGUUGGUCGUGCCUCGGUACGUACUGGCAUUGUUGGUUUCUCCCUUCUGACGAACCAUGAUGUCAUUUAUUUGGUGUCGUGGGAAAUCAGGACUGUUACUUUGAAAAAAUUAGAGUGUUUAAAGCAGGCUCACGCUUGAAUACAUUAGCAUGGAAUAAUGAAAUAGGACGUUUGAUUCUAUUUUGUUGGUUUCUAGGAUCGACGUAAUGAUUAAUAGGGAUAGUUGGGGGCAUUAGUAUUCAAUUGUCAGAGGUGAAAUUCUUGGAUUUAUUGAAGACUAACUACUGCGAAAGCAUUUGCCAAGGAUGUUUUCAUUAAUCAAGAACGAAAGUUAGGGGAUCGAAGACGAUCAGAUACCGUCGUAGUCU
rnacentral:misc_RNA from 1 species